rnacentral:rRNA from 1 species
CCUACGGGUGGCAGCAGUCGAGAAUCAUUCACAAUGGGGGAAACCCUGAUGGUGCGACGCCGCGUGGGGGAAUGAAGGUCUUCGGAUUGUAAACCCCUGUCAUGUGGGAGCCAAUUAAAAAGAUAGUACCCCAAGAGGAAGAGACGGCUAACUCUGUGCCAGCAGCCGCGGUAAUACAGAGGUCUCACGCGUUGUUCGGAAUCACUGGGCGUAAAGCGUGCGUAGGCUGUUUCGUAAGUCGUGUGUGAAAGGCGCGGGCUCAACCCGCGGACGGCACAUGAUACUGCGAGACUAGAGUAAUGGAGGGGGAACCGGAAGUCUCGGUGUAGCAGUGAAAUGCGUAGAUAUCGAGAGGAACACUCGUGGCGAAGGCGGGUUCCUGGACAUUAACUGACGCUGAGGCACGAAGGCCAGGGGAGCGAAAGGGAUUAGAUACCCCAGUAGUC